rnacentral:rRNA from 1 species
AAUCAACGCUGGCGGCGUGCCUCAGACAUGCAAGUCGAACGAUUAAAGCUCUCUUCGGAGAGUGUAUAGAGUGGCGCACGGGUGAGUAACACGUAAGUAAUCUACCCUCGAGUGGGGAAUAACAACCGGAAACGGUUGCUAAUACCGCAUAAUGCAGCGGCACCGCAAGGUGACAGUUGUUAAAAGAUUUAUCGCUUGAGGAGGAGCUUGCGGCAGAUUAGCUAGUUGGUAGGGUAACGCGUUACCAAGGCUACGAUCUGUAACCGGUCUAAGAGGACGGUCGGUCGACACUGACACUGAAU